GACGAACGCUGGCGGCGUGCUUAACACAUGCAAGUCGAACGGAAAGGCCCUGCUUUUGUGGGGUGCUCGAGUGGCGAACGGGUGAGUAACACGUGAGUAACCUGCCCUUGACUUUGGAAUAACUUCAGGAAACUGGGGCUAAUACCGGAUAGGAGCUCCUGCUGCAUGGUGGGGGUUGGAAAGUUUCGGCGGUUGGGGAUGGACUCGCGGCUUAUCAGCUUGUUGGUGGGGUAGUGGUUUACCAAGGCUUUGACGGGUAGCCGGCCUGGGAGGGUGACCGGCCACAUUGGGACUGAGAUACGGCCCAGACUCCUACGGGAGGCAGCAGUGGGGAAUAUUGCACAAUGGGCGGAAGCCUGAUGCAGCAACGCCGCGUGCGGGAUGACGGCCUUCGGGUUGUAAACCGCUUUCGCCUGUGACGAAGCGUGAGUGACGGUAAUGGGUAAAGAAGCACCGGCUAACUACGUGCCAGCCGCCGCCGUAAUAC
rnacentral:rRNA from 1 species